GAGCCAGUGGCCCAACGGCAAGGUCAGCUCGACGUGGUACGCGACUGUGGCGGAUAAGGCGGAGGAUAUGCGCGAGGCGGGCUUCACCGA
rnacentral:SRP_RNA from 1 species